rnacentral:rRNA from 1 species
GUGCCACGGAGGCGAACAACGUGCCCUCCCGCACCGCCUUCAGCCCGUCCGGGGUGCCGUCGAACCCGACGACCUGCACGGACUUCCCGGCCCUGGAACCCAGCGCCUUGAUCGCGC